UGGCUGGAGAGGCGCUCUGCAUCCCCGCCCCCCCUUCUGCUGCCGGCAGCUGCGUCUGCAACACCGUAUGUCAGGCAGCGGUGCCGGCAGCUGUACAGAUAGAGGACCACCGGACUAUAGCAACCCCCUCUACUUAAAAGCAGUUAAAGCUCUGCCCCGGGCCGUCGCGCUCUGCAGCACGUCACAUUGCUGCUGCUGCGGCCGCUCACUUCUCCCGUGCGGCCGCCAGAAACAGAAUGACCCCUGACUCCUCACAGCAGCGGGUGUCACCGCGCAGACGUGGGCUGAGACGGCGGGCAGCGCUGGAGACAGAAACUCGGCAUCACCAGCUGGUGGUCGUGGGCCGCGGCUGCCAGCCUACAGCGGAAGGAUGCAACCUGUCCAAGCACAAGAAGCAAGCUGCAGGGUCGUUGUGUGUCUUCUCCGCACUUGCAGAAACCCUCCCUACCUAGUGUGCGAGGUGAGAUCCACUUCCCUGUGAGUACCCGUCACGCCGGCGCGGACGCGCCAUGAUGACGUCAUCGGGACUCCGACGGGACCCGUGGAGAUGGUGCUGGUGCACUCUUUAUAAGGUAAAAAUGACUUCACGGUUUGGCAAUUACAAAAUUAAGAGACUGAAAAACAACUGUCAAUUGGACAAUGAUAUUUUUGGCCAAGAAUAUGGCUGUGGGUCUCCUCAUUUCCCGCAUGUUCUGUGUAUUACCAUAAUGUAAAUAAUGUGAGUAUACUCGUCUAGUGUCUCCAAUUUACAGGUAGUAUGUCCAUUAUACAGAAACCUCAUAGUACAAAUGAUAAACACAUCAAACAUAUUUUUAAUGGUCCAGUUACUAAUUAUUCAACCCCCAGGAAUGUACUUAUUGUAAAUACAUAUCAAUUUUAUUAGCCAGUAUCUUAAUAAUAAAAUAUGGAACCUCGCCUUAGAAUCUAUAGGGACCAUAACAUAACAGUUUAACAGCAUCAUGGAAAAGAACACUAACUGUAUGGGUUUAAUUAAUAAUACAUUUAAAAUAUAAAAGUGUAACUUGAUAGGGCCACGGUCAGAAUACAGCAUGCAUACUGUAGAUCCUUUGCUAGAAUGAGUCACAUUAUUUGCUUUUAAAAUGCUUUCAAAUGUCAAACACUAGAAAGUAAGGAAAUCAGUGCUCACAGUUCAUGCACAGCUGGACAGACUAUGGGGGUAGGGGUGUGCGUUUCCCAAAUACUGUGUAUAAAU